rnacentral:rRNA from 1 species
GAUGAACGCUACCUCCAGGCUUAACACAUGCAAGUCGAGGGGAAACGGCAUUGAGUGCUUGCACUCUUUGGACGUCGACCGGCGCACGGGUGAGUAACGCGUAUCCAACCUUCCCAUUACUGUGGGAUAACCUGCCGAAAGGCAGACUAAUACCGCAUAGUCUUCGAUGACGGCAUCAGAUUUGAAGUAAAGAUUUAUCGGUAAUGGAUGGGGAUGCGUCUGAUUAGCUUGUUGGCGGGGUAACGGCCCACCAAGGCUACGAUCAGUAGGGGUUCUGAGAGGAAGGUCCCCCACAUUGGAACUGAGACACGGUCCAAACUCCUACGGGAGGCAGCAGUGAGGAAUAUUGGUCAAUGGACGGAAGUCUGAACCAGCCAAGUAGCGUGCAGGAUGACGGCCCUAUGGGUUGUAAACUGCUUUUGUAUGGGGAUAAAGUUAGGGACGUGUCCCUAUUUGCAGGUACCAUACGAAUAAGGACCGGCUAAGUCCGUG